GUCUUUAAACCUCUCGUAUCUUUGCCACCCUUCUGUCUCUCUGAAGUUUUUGUCUGCCUGAAAGACACGGCCAUGGCAAUGAUCGAGUUUUCACAAGAAUGGAAGUCAGGAUUUCCAAUAGACACUGUGUCUAAAGCGCCACUCUUACUCUCAAAACAAACCUCAGAAUCCCUUAUUGGUCCACUUGUCUUCAACCCAAUCCCUGAAUCAUUGGCACACCUCUUUACCUCUCCUGCUCUCUCUCCUCCUCUUCUAAACCCACCACCCCAUCUUUCUCUCACAAGAUUUAUCUCCACUUCAACACUCGCUGACUCUCCUCUCCCUCUCUCUACUGCUUCCUCUAUUGCCUUUUCUUUUGGCCCUCAAGAUCUACACUUUUCUUCUCCUUUGUUAGCUUAUAAUAGACUCCAGUUCCUUAAAUGCCCACAUGAUGAUACUGUUGUUGUGUUUUUUUCCACUGGGACUAAUCUUGACCGAGUUGGGUUUUUGUUACUUUCUGUUAAAGAUAAGAGCUUGGUGGCUACUGGGGAUCAAAAGGGUGGGAUUUUUACUGCUAGUAAGAGUUUGGGGUCAAAGAUUGUGAGGGUCUUAGUGAACCCCAUUGAGGAUGAUUCUUUUUUGAAUGGUAAUUAUUCCUUUUCUGGCUCUUUUGGUUAUUUGUUAGUUUAUACUAUGUAUUCUGUGAAUUGGUUCUGCGUUAAAUAUAGUGAAAGUAUGAAAAGGCCUGUUUUGAGUUAUUUAGGUUGUAAGAAUUUUAAGAGUUGUGGAAUUGCGAGUGCUUGUUGGAGUCCUUAUAUAAAAGUUCAGAGUGUGGUUUUGUUGGAGAAUGGUACAUUAUUUUUGUUUGAUUUGGAAGCCGAUUGUUCUGAUAUGUAUUUUAGGGGUACUAAAUUGAAAGUUUCGUGGGGUGAUGAAGGUAAGUUAGGAGAUGGUAAAUGGUUAGGGUGUGAGUUUAGUUGGCAUUGUAGGGUUUUGAUUGUUGCACGGUCAGAUGCUGUUUUUAUGAUUGAUUGGAAAUGCGGUGGUUUUGAUGUGACUUGUUUAGCAAGGAUUGAUAUGUUUAGUGCAUAUGCUCUUAGUGAAAAGGAACGGUUCCUAGCUAUGUCCAGGGCAGUUUCGGAUAGUCUUCAUUUUGUUUUGGUUUCUGAAACUAUGUUAGUUAUUUGUGAUGUGCGCAAGCCUAUGAUACCAUUGUUGCAAUGGGCACAUGGUCUUGAUAAGCCAUGUUUUAUUGAUGUGUUUAGAUUGUCUGAUUUGAGGUCCAACUCAAGGGAUGACACACAUGACUGGGCGAAUUCUUCAGGUUUUGGCAUUAUUUUGGGGUCAUUUUGGAAUUGUGAAUUCAGCCUCUUUUGCUAUGGACCAUCCUUUCCUCCUCGUAAAGGGUCCUUCGCCUUGGAAAUUUCUAAAUUUUCCAGUUGUUUAUACGCUUGGGACCACCCUUCAGGUCUCAUGUUAUCAGGUGAUGAUUGUCAACGUGGAGAUUGCCUUGUAAGAGAACAGUUUUGGAAGGAAGCUCUUCCUGAAUGGACUGAUUGGCAGCAGAAAAAAGACAUAGUGUUGGGCUUUGGUGUUUUAAGCAACGAUCUCUCUUCAUUGUUGUUUGAGCCUGAUGAAUUUGGUGGUUUUGUUUUAAUUAGAUUGAUGUCAUCAGGAAAGCUUGAAUCACAGAGAUAUUGUGCCUCAUGGGAAUUGGUUAAAAAUAUAGAAGUGGCUCAAAGAGAUCCAAUGCUGCAUUCAGAAGACAACUUACUUUACUUCAUGGGUGAUGAGGAAUACAAGGUCCCUAGAAAAUUUAAGUAUUUUGAACUGAACUAUCUACAUGCACAUUUGAAUGGCAACCUUUCUCAAGUUCUCGAUUCAAACAUGGCAAAGCCUUGUGAGUGUCCUCAUGAGAAGGAAUUGUUCAGCCUAGAAUUUCAUGAAGUAUUGUGCAAGAAGCUGAAAAUUUGUGGGUUUGGUCAAUUUAGAACAUCCCCUGCCAUUACAGUUACAUUUAAUGACAUAAACUUGCCAACAAGCAUCCAUGAGGUAGCUUUGAGGAGAAUGUGGGCUGAAUUGCCAAUGGAAUUCUUGCAACUCGCCUUUUCCAGCUAUUCUGAAUUGCAUGAAGUACUUUUGGAUCAGAAAAGGGUUGCUUUGGAAUUUUCAGUUGUUCCAGAACUACCUCAAUUACCACCAUUUUUCUUGCGGAAGCCUUCAAACCACAGCAAUAGGUGUUUACGUAAAGUGCAAAGUAGUGAUGCCCUUGUGGGUCCAGCUCUUCCUCUCCCUAUUUUGUCUACACUUCAUGAGCUUCGUAAUGGUUGUCCAAAUUCACAGGAAGAAACAGGCGGAUUUUCAUCAGAAUCAGAACUUAGUGUUCGAUGCAAUGAAGUUAUGCAGGUGGCCAAGGAAGUGGCUGUUUCAGAUUCCACAACCAAGCUUCAGGAUGAUAAUGCUAUAUCCCUUGAUGAUGACAGAGAUGACUUUUUGGAUCAUUCUGAAAAACCAAAGUCUUUCCUUCUAUACCAUCCAACUGCAUGUCAGCUCUCUUUUCAAGUUCACAAAGAGGAUAAUUGUGUGUAUCAGAAUGACAAGUUUGCUUCCAUGAUUACAAAAGUGCAUGAGAAACAGUCACCUCAUCCUGAAAAGGUGGAAACUUUCAAACUAGAAUUCUUUGAUGAUCUGUGCCCAAUCGACUUGAAAUUUGAUGCUCGUGAGGUGAAAUUUAGUUCACAAGAGUCGAAAAUUUCAAAUUUAUUGAAGAAGAAUUUUUCAAAAUGGCAAGAGGAAUUCACUCCUUAUCGGGAAUUUUGUUCCCGAUUUACAUCCCCUCGUGACAAGAUGGCCUAAUGUAAGAUUUCUAUUGAUUGCAAUUUCUACUGCUUAUUUCUUCAAUUAUGGUUAUUUUGGUUUCUUAUAAGUUCAUCCCUUUUCCCUUUAAUUUUACUUUUUAAAACGUCUAUCCAGCUGAUGCUUGCAGACUGCAAACAUUAUUGUAUAGUUUCUUUUCUCUUUUUUUCUCCCGGGAGCUGGUUCUUCUCAUACUUGGUCUGAUGAACACAGCGGGUGAGCGGUGAUUUUGCGAAGCAGCUGAACUGAAUUCGCAUCAAUUUAAGGCCUUGAAUAUCGAUGAUCAUUCUUCCAGUUUGAUUCAUGUUUUUCUCAUACGUGACUUGUGCAAUCCUCAAGGUUCCAGUUCAACAGGUGAACUUUCUGGACUAGCCAUAUUUGCAGGUUGUACACCUGGUCCGUUGAAAGGCCAUGUAUUUCAGUUUUAGUUGAAAAUAUUGUGUUUGAGGAUCUAUACUUUGACAUAGUAUCAGUUUGUAGGAUGGUUAUGGCUCAUCAUGGAACCUCAACUUAUUGAAAGAGGAGGUAUCUAGUCAUGAGAUUGACAUAGCAAGAUGUUCAGUUCCACUGAACUUUUUACGUUGUACAUACCCCCAAUUAGUUUAUAGAGUCUCAAUUCCAAGGCUUCUGAAUCUGUACAUACUAUAGGAUUCGAGAAUUCCUCGCCUGGCUAUCUUGGUGCUUCUACCAUUGAAAGGUUGGUGCUGUACUUAAUUCCAGUUUAUUUUCAGAUGAUUACAGUAGGAUUUCAGGUCACCCUGAUGUGCAUUAUGGAGUACAAUAUUGAGUUAAGUGCUGACAUGCUAUGACUUUUCCGUUUGCAAUCCUGACCGUAAUAGUAAAAGACCUUUGAGAAAUGUAUCAUCUAUCUGCUUAGUUACAUUAAUAUGGUUGAUGCUAAGUUAUUUGGUUAUAA